GGCGAGAUGGCCGAGCGGUCUAAGGCGCCAGACUAAGGUUUCUGAAUCAUGACAGAUUCGUACUGUUAUCUGGUCCGAAAGGGCGUGGGUUCGAAUCCCACUCUCGUCA